CAAAAACAUCGCUCCCUGUCUAAAGUAAAUAGGGAGUCGGACCUGCCCAGUGAAUUUUUAACGGCCGCGGUACUCUGACCGUGCAAAGGUAGCAUAAUAAUUUGCCUUAUAAUUGAAGGCUAGUAUGAAUGGUUUGACGAGAAUAAAGCUGUCUCUUUGCAAUUCUGUAGAAAUUUAUUUACGGAUGAAAAAGUCCGUAUAUUAUUAAUAGACAAGAAGACCCUAUCGAGCUUUAAAGAAUUUAGUAGGCCAAAAGCUAAUUGUUAAUAUAAAAAGUCAUCUACUAACGAUUUUAGUUGGGGCGACCGAGGAACAAUUAAAGCUUCCUUCAUGAAUUCAUACCCGCAGGUUUUGAUCCAGUAAGUAUUCUGAUCAAUAAAAUUAGUUACCGUAGGGAUAACAGCAUUAUCUUUUUUGAGAGCUCUUAUCGAAAAAAAGGUUUGUGACCUCGAUGUUGGACCAGAAUGUCCUAAAGAUGCAGCAGUCUUUAAGGGUUGGUCUGUUCGACCAUUAAUAUUCUACGUGAUCUGAGUUCA
rnacentral:rRNA from 1 species